UGGGGGAGUAUUGCACAAUGGGGGGAACCCGUGAUGCAGCGACGCCGCGUGGGUGAAGAAGCGCCUCGGCGCGUAAAGCCCUGUCAGCAGGGAAGAAAAAUGACGGUACCUGAAGAAGAAGCCCGGCUAACUACGUGCC
rnacentral:rRNA from 1 species